CGAACUGUGCAAAAAAGAUAGUUUUUCCUAGGACGCUUUCGUCCUUCGUCAAAACUCCUAUUUUUGCUUUGUUCG
rnacentral:ncRNA from 1 species